rnacentral:rRNA from 1 species
GUAGGUGGCAAGCGUUGUCCGGAAUUAUUGGGCGUAAAGCGCGCGCAGGCGGUUCUUUAAGUCUGAUGUGAAAGCCCACGGCUCAACCGUGGAGGGUCAUUGGAAACUGGAGAACUUGAGUACAGAAGAGGAAAGCGGAAUUCCACGUGUAGCGGUGAAAUGCGUAGAGAUGUGGAGGAACACCAGUGGCGAAGGCGGCUUUCUGGUCUGUAACUGACGCUGAGGCGCGAAAGCGUGGGGAGCAAACAGGAUUAGAUACCCUGGUAGUCCACGCCGUAAACGAUGAGUGCUAAGUGUUAGGGGGUUUCCGCCCCCUUAGUGCUGCAGCUAACGCAUUAAGCACUCCGCCUUGGAGUACGGCCGCAAGGCUG